rnacentral:rRNA from 1 species
UACGGAGGGUGCAAGCGUUGCUCGGAAUCACUGGGCGUAAAGCGCACGCAGGCGGCCUGUCAAGUCGGGUGUGAAAGCCCGGGGCUCAACCCCGGAACUGCACCCGAAACUGGCAAGCUUGAGUACGAGAGAGGGUGGCGGAAUUCCCAGUGUAGAGGUGAAAUUCGUAGAUAUUGGGAGGAACACCAGUGGCGAAGGCGGCCACCUGGCUCGAUACUGACGCUCAUGUGCGAAAGCGUGGGGAGCAAACAGG